UGUGCAUACAGGCAGAGUUUAACACCAGGGUUAGAGUUAGACUGUGGAUACAGGUGGAGUUUAACACCAGGGUUAGAGUUAGACUGUGGAUACAGGUGGAGUUUAACACCAGGGUUAGUUAGAUUGAUGGAGUUC